GUCACUUCCACCAGUGCUCCCCUGCCGAUGAGCUGGGAAACCUCUGAGGGAUGACAGAAAAGUCACAUAAAGGGCUCAGCUCCUCUUCCGCUGGGAGAGCCCGCGGUGGCACGCAACCUGGAAAGAACUCAUAGAAGUGCCUCUUUGUGCUUGAGACAGCCUGCGAUGACAGAUCAGUAACGACCCCCAGAGACGUCCCCCACCGCAUCUCCCUACAGAGAUCCCCCCAAGCUUCUGCCAUGAGCCGUCGCUGGAGGACAGGGGGGACACAGGACUGGCUGCUGGGGUGGUCACUGCUCCACACAACACCACAAGCACCCUGGCUUUAACAAAAAAGGUUGUCUAGACUGAGAAGUACAGGUUUUGCUCUUGGAGUAUGAGCAGAAUAACGUCAGACACGCUGCCUUCCACGUAGUGGCAAAGGGACGUCAGUGCCUGCUGGAGGAUGCUUUCUCGGGCUGGCUGUACCUCUGCCACCUCCCCACCCAGGGAGAGGACGGGGCAGCCCCUGCCCGCGUGGAGCCUGCUGCACAGGUAGGGCUUUGUUUGCCAGGGCACUGAAAAAUGGCUCAGUAUGGAUCUGAAAGCCAUUCAUCAUGGUGGGAUGAAACACAAGUCACUUUGAAGCCGCUGUCGGUUGGUAAGAAAAUAAUUUAAAAUUAAACCAGUUCUGAAACUAUCUACCGCAAGUGGUUACAAGCCUGAGUGUUGUAAAACUGGACCGUUUCCUCUUUUCCUCGCAACGAUCAUGUCCUUGAUUCCUCCUUUAGGGUGCUUUGGCAAUUCUUGCACAGUAAUAAAAAGGCAUGACACAGCAUAUGUUUUGCGGCUCACCUUGCCAAACAAAAUUACAACGUUAGUGUAGCUUCUUUGCCUUUGCAUAAUGAACUAGAGAGAGGGUAAGCAUCUGUGCCAAGAUAAAAGAAAAAACAAGAAGUACAAAGGUCUGGUUUAAAGCAGACUCCGUUUAAAGAAAUUCUUUUUAGAAUGACUUAUCUUGAAACUGUUACAGACAGUUAGGGAAAGUCAUACAGUUUCUAAAUGUCUGUUAUGUUUUAAGUCUGCAGCUACAUUGCUAAGAUUUAAGGAAAAAAAAAACUAGAUGCAACUUUGAGAGCUCAGAAACGUGGCACAGCAGAGCAUCAUCUGCGCAACACGUGCUGGGGCCAGGAGGAAGUGGGCUGCAAAGGAACUGCUUAUUCCCCGCUCCUCAGGUUCCCUGGGCAUCAUUUGCAUUUUUAAUGGCGUUCGGGGCAGGCCUUGUCAACAAGGGGAAUUUGCUGUGUGGGGAGGAGGUAGACUGGCCUGUAGGUGUGCCCGUCUGUUCUGCCUUUUUUGUCACCUUUCUGUCAUCCCUGUCCCUCAGGGACUUGAAAGGAAAGCAUGGACCUCACUGGGAAGUCCAAGGGAAGGGACGGAUUUCCUUGUACAGCGGAUGAUGACAGGGAAAAAGGGAAAUCCUUCCGUCUAUGGAUCUGCCAAAUCUGUUCCAGGAAAAAGGCAAAAAGCUGCCCCAACUAAUGCCACUGCACUUAUGCCUGCUACAAACCCAUGUUAAUAGCUGAGUUAGGAUUCAGGCAGUCUGAGUGGUUCAAAUACUGAAGGUUAAAGACCAGAUCCUGCUUCAUUAAUGCCAGAGACAAAGUUCCCAGCAAAAGAUCUGGCCCUUAGUUUCUGGAAGUCCAACUAAGUAAAUUAAGAGGAAAAAAAAAAAGAAUAACGAAAAGAAAUAGAUGAGGAAAAUUUUGCCAUCAACUAUGGCAGCUGGCAUCAGCGAGGUUGCCCAGGUAGAAGAGAGAUCCAGCACUCUCUUGCUUUUCGGCAGACAUGAAACCUUGUCAUCCUCUGCUAUCACAACCAACACCCUGUUGUGCAAAGUGCUAUACAGCCACAGAGACGGUGUCAGUCUGCCCAAAGUCCUUACAAAGCCCCUUGCACAAUGUCUCUGCAGCCAAAACUCAUUUAUUAAAAGCUUGCUUAUCAGAAAUGAGGUCCAGUCAUUUGAUGGGCAUUAGAUACGUUCAUGCAUUAAACGCGACUGAAAUAUCACCUGCUUAUCCUAACCCUUGUUUGUCCAAAUCACCUUUGCAUUCACUGUGAUACACUAUGGGUGAGAUUUGAUAGCAUUUGCUAACCAUACAAGAGUUGAGCCCACAACUCUUCUUUUGGUAAGAAAAGGUAUCAACCAAAACAAAUGAGUUAUUCUUCGAUAACGAAGACAAGAGAAAUCUCCAAACUCAGUGGAAAAAUAAGUCAGUGCUUGAAGAACAGCAAGAGGUGGAAUCAGUGUGGACAGAAAUGUGACCAAAUCUGUGAAGCACCAUUAUGUGUCUGACAGUACCCAUCUUGCACAAACCACACCAAGGUGCCCUUCCAGCUCUCUGUAGGCACAAUUUCCCUGGGAUACUUCAAAACCAGCUUCAUUCCCAGGCCAUGUCCCCAUGGUCCACAUGCUCUUGGAGGCUGAGGUAGCACCUCCAUGGCCCUGGCCCUGGCCCUGGAGCAGCGCACCCAGGAGGUGGCUAGCCCCCAGCAGGCAUCUCUGAAAAGAGUCAGAGAUGCUUCACACUGAGACAUGCUCAGCUCAUUUCCUGCGUGAAGCAAAGGAGAUCCAACCACCAACCGGCAGCCUUCAGCCCAGCACUUUACUGCAGGUGAGCACAGCCCCCUCGGAGGCAGGGGUGGCUUUGAGGAUACUCUCUGGCAUCCGCAUCGGAUUCAUGGAUCAACUUCAAUGCUUCUGGCCAUCAGUGUCCUGGUUUGGAUGAUCGCUGCUAAUUUUACGGCGGUGGGUGUUUGGCAGUGUAGCUCUGAGCCAGCCUCGGCGUGCUGCUGCGCCCCGCGUGCCCUGCCCACAGCCCUGAGUGCAGGGCUGGCUCCUGAGCUGCAACUAAUAGCGUAAAGCUUCCGAUAAAUCAAGGGUUUCACAAAAGCGUGAGUGGCUGAUUUCACAAUGUGAUUAGAAUUACCAAGGGAAAACAUUUCAAAUGUUCAAUAAUUUACACCUCUACUUUUAAAGUACCUUUCCCCAUUCCACUCCCGUAACUUUACGGGAUUCUUGCCAUGUUCUUGAAGCCGUUUCCUUCCUCAUGUCGGCUCUCAUUGCUGCUGAACACUCUGGUAAUAAAUAAAAGUACUGUAUGGCUGGAGAUUGUGCUGGGGAUGAAAAAAAUACAAUGCCGUUUAUUAUAAAAUAGUCUAUGCACGCAUCUGAUCUUAGCAUGUGCUCUGCAUCCUUCCAAAAUCAAGACAAGUUGCAAAGUACUAUUGCAAAAUUUGGUUUAUAUUCCAGCUUGCUUUUUGUGAUGCUUCUUUUUAAGAAAGCAUUUUCAAACACAUUUUCCAUUAAGUUUUUCCAUGCCAACUUUUCACUCGUAACAGUGUUAGCAAAGUCAGGCCUCCCCUUCAUGGUUUAGCUUUGAAAGGUUUUAAAUGUAAAUUUGGAACUCAUAUCACACAUUACUGAGGGGCAGGAACUGCUUGUUUGUUUGUUUAUGUAUUUAUUAACUAGGAAUUAUUUUCUCUCCAGCGUGCUUCAGUCUCCUACAAGUUCAGCUCUUUGGUGAACUAA